UGAGAGGUGGGAGCAGGUGGGACUCAGAGCUCAGAUUCCCAGAGUGGACGUUGAAGUCCCCAUUUAGGGGUGGAAGGCUUGGACCCACCUAGGAUGGAGCCUUAGCACAGAUGAGGACACAGCCAUUGAAAGCAUCGACUUAUUUGACUGUGUUAUCAAGACUGUUCUUAUGCUGUACUUGUUUCUCUUGGGCAUGCCAUUAGUGUGGUAUUCAUAAGCAGAAAUGUAAAAAAGAAAUGACAAGAAGUAUGUGUAGUAAAUCCACCUACUUUCCAGACUUAGUUCAAAGAUUAUGACCUAAGCAGAGGUCUGGUUAGUUUAGGCUUUGUGAACGUUUGUCCAAAUUAUAGUAGGUUUACUAGCUAAAAACCCUGGGUGAGUCUGAUGAAAAGUAUUUCUUUUUUUCCAUUGCUGUUUUUGUAACAUCCACAUCAAUCUAAAUUGCUGUUUAGAUAAGGUAACUCUACUUUACUGGCCAAGAGUGAGGAAUAAAAUCUGUUAAGUGGAUGCAACACACUUCCUUUCUGCCUAUUCAUUCAAAAGGCCCUAUAGUGAAAUGGCAAAGAGCCUUUAUUCAAAUGGUGGGUGCCAUGCUGUGGUAAUACAGAUGGAUUUUUCACAACAUGCAGAAGUGCUUAUAAAUAGAUACGUUUCAAUCAACAAGUAGCUUAUUCAGGCAUGUGCUCAAAUAUAGUAGCUGCAUUCAUUAGACAGACAUUUCCACUAAUCCCAAGACUAUACUAAUAAAAGAGUAAUCCCUUAUGGGCUAAAGGUGGUGCUGGUUUGCUUUUAACUCUUGGAGUCCUUCACACACCAAGGCCUAAUAAUAAUUGUAGCUGUAUUUGGUUUUCACCAAGUGAACUUAACCCAUUUAUGCCGGAGGUUGCAAUUUUUAAAAUUUUUGCAAUCAGAGCUUGGUGAUGACCUUGAGCAGUAGAAUAUAAAUAACUCUCACACGCUUAGCGUUCCGAUAAUGGAACACUAAGCAUAAAUGGGUUAAAAGCCGAGCUUAUCUUGGAAUUUUUCUAUUCUUAUUUUUUUAAAUUGCAGGAGCUUAGUGAAGAAAGAGGUGCUUUUUACUCUAGAUAUGUAGCUUUCAGCAAAGCCAAUUCAAAAAUCAGUUUGUGUGUGUGUAUGUUUUCUCGAUACUUUAUCAUAAAGCACUUGUCUCUUUCACCUUGGUUCAUAGAAGUGUUCGCUUGAGCAGAUUCUGUUUUGUUCUUUGAUGUUAGGAUAAAUAACAAUGGUCAGUUUUGAGAGCAUUUGCAAGCUCUCACUAUAGUGGUUUGCCUUUUUACGUGGACUUUUUCCCCUUCAAUAGCUCUUUACUCCUCCUAUGUUACUCAGAGCUAGCUGUAAUCCGUUUGCUUAGCACAACACCAAAAUCUUUCCCUUGCCAGUGGUGUCAAAUCUGCCUUCCUUUUUAUUAUUCUGACUUAUAAACUGCAGUGACCUCUGAGUCAACUUCGCCAUCUCUUGGCCCUGUGCCAACAUUGUGUUCUGUGAAAAGAGAGUCCUGCCAAGGGCUACGAGGCAGAAAACUGAUAUUAUUAAAGUGGUCUUCUGAACGCAACUCUCUGCAAGGUCCUAAGGGUUCUAAGUUGAAUAAGGCCCACUCCCUCCCUUCCAGGACUUUAGCUGAGGUUGGUUGGGGCAGAAGUCGGGCAAGACUCAUCGGAACGGAUUAACAGAGACAGAAUCCAGAGGCAACGGGGUGAAUUCCAAGUAUAGGAUCUGGACUCAGAAGAGAUUUAAGUUUCAAAUCUGGCUUUGUCAGUUAAUGCUUGUGGGAUCUCAACCACGUCACUGACUUCUCUGAGCAUGCUUCCAUAUUUCUACAAAGGAAACAAUAGGUGACUCUGCUGAGUUGAGCACUUGCGAGUACCAAGCAGUGAGGACCUGAGGCACAGAUGCUAACCAGCUUGCUGGAGAUCACACACUCAUGAGUGGCAGAGUGGGGCUUGGAACCGGGUAGCCUGGCUCUGGAGCCCUCACUCCAUCCACACACCAUGCUGGGACCCAGUCGAGUGACCAGCAGACCGGUUGUGUGGGUUAGGUGGAAUGGUGGAUAUAAACCACACAGCCCAGCUCCUGACCCAUGCUGGGCCCUCAGUGUAUGUUUAAGCUCAGGCUGGAAAAGGAUCACUGAAAGUCACUUGGAUGGUGUCUCGUGUGUCUGUGAUGAGCUUGCUGUUGCUUUCUUUCUCCUUGACAGAUGAGAAAACAGUGGCUUCAAAGGUUAAACAACUUGUCUUCGAUUGCACAGCUAACAAGAGGUAAAACUGGAAUUUGAAUCGUGGUACUGUGACUUCAGAGGCCAGGUUCGUAGCGCUACACUAACACAGAGACCAGAAGAAGCCUUGACAUUAUCAUAAAACCACAGACAUGAUACAAGGCCAGGAAGAAGGAGGCUUGGGAGCUUAUUAGCUGAAAUAUAUUGAUCACCUUUUCACAGCUUUCUCUUAUUAUCCUCCCAAUGUCUCUGUGAGGACAGUACAGUUAUCACCCCAUUCUAGAGAUGAGGAAACUGAAGCUCAGAGGUGUUAAGAAACUUGUUCUAGGUCACACAGCUAGUAAUGCUUGGGAUCAGGAUUUGAAUUUAGAUUUGUCAUAUUCCAAAGUUUACCUAUAGUCUCAGCUACUAGGGAGGCUAAGGCAGGAGAAUUGCUUGAGCCCAGGAGUUUGAUUUCAGAUUGAGCAACAUAGUAAGAUCCCAUGUCAAAAAAGAAAAAUAAACAGGUGAAAUUAAUUUUAACAAUAUGCUUUACCUAACCCAAUAUAUGCAAAAUAUUACAUUUUAACAUGUAAUCAAUAUUUUCAAAGUUAAUAAUGAAUACCAGAAAUAACACAUGUGCUAAUAACAUGUACGCUGCAACACUAAUAUCUUACCUGAUACAACAGUUAAAAUCAAGUCCCACCAGAGCAAUAAAGUUGUGUCUACCAGAAAAAUAUUUUACACUGCUUCCAUUUUUAAAUUUACAUUUAAAUUAAUUGACAUUAAGUAACAUUUAAAACUCAGUUCCUCAGUCACACGGGCUACAUUUUAAGUGUGCAACAACCACAUAUGGCUAGUGGCCACAGUGGUGCUGGUUAAUGAGCACAGCUCUAAGCCUUCCUUGUGUGUUUUUUUAAAAAUUCAAUUCAGAUUCCACUUCCAUUGUUUGCUUGUUUAACCUUAAAAUCUGUGUGUUUUAACAGACCUGUGUUUAAGCCUUAUAAGUCCCAUCACAAAGUGUCAGUGGUUUGGAGAGAGGUUCUAGAACGUUCUCUUUGUAACAUUAUCACAAAUCUGUGGUUGUUAGGCUGCUCUUGGUUUAUGUUUGAGUUAAACCCUUUGUGUGGUGUCAGACCAAUUCAGGCUUAUGUUUUCCCCGGAGAGAGGAAUAAGCUGCUAUUUUGGACCCUGUCGUGAUCCCUGCCCAGAGUCAAAAGUAAUUCCCAAGCAGACUGAUUUUUACAGGGUCAUGCUCCUCUGAUCUUCUCUCCAGGAGUGUGAUUUUCAACGGGAUAGAGAAAGGCAAACUCCUGAGGAAAAAUUUCUCUGGGAAAGCCCAGGCUGAAGUCGAGGAGGGAAGAGGACGAAAGGCUGACAGGGUUGCCGUCUCUGAGGGAGAUCCACUCACACACCUCAGGAGGCAUUGUGGGAUGGUCAAAGUGGGGAGGAAGAAAGGGAAUCUUCGAAAGAAACUUGCGGCGGGGCACGGUGGCUCACGCCUGUAAUCCCAGCACUUUGGGAGGCUGAGAUGAGUGGAUCACAAGGUCAGGAGUUCGAGACCAGCCUGGUCUGGCCAACAUGGUGAAACCCUGUCUCUACUAAAAAUACAAAAAUUGGCCGGGCUCGGUGGCUCACGCCUGUAAUGCCAGCGCUUUGGGAGGCCGAGGCAGGUGGAUCCCCUGAGGUCAGGAGUUCAAGACCAGCCUGACCAACAUGGAGAAGCCCCGUCUCUACUAAAAAUACAAAAAAAAAAAAAAAAAAAAUUAGCCAGGCAUGAUGGCACACACCUGUAAUCCCGGCUACUUGGGAGGCUGAGGCAGGAGAAUUGCUUGAGCCCGGGAGGCAGAGGUUGCGGUGAGCCGAGAUUUCACCAUUGCACUCCGGCCUGGGCAACAAGAGCAAAACUCUGUCUCAACAACAACAACAAAAAAUUAUCCGGGCGUGGUGGCAUGCACCUGUAAUCCUAGCUACUUAAGAUGCUGAGGCAGGAUAAUUGCUUGAACCCGGUAGGCAGAGGUUGCAGUGAGCAGAAAUCGCACCACUGCACCCCAGCUUGGGUGACAGAGCAAGACUCUGUCUCGGAAAAAAAAAGAAAAAAAGAAAGAAACUUAGGCUGAAAGGUUUAAAUGGACACAGAACAGCAAACUCAAGGACUUCCAUAGCUACUGGGAACCAGCACAGGGCUGACACCUCCAUUGAACUCUCUUUGCUAUUCUAGAAUAUUUUAAUAAUGAGACACACCCAAAACAUGUUUAGAAUCAUGCCACCUGCUGCUUCUCAUGGCCAGCAUUAUUUGUCAUCAAAUCUGAUCCCAAUGUUUGCCAUAUUAUUGGAUAUCCUGUGAAAUAGAAUCUAAAAAUAUACAUUUUUUCCCUCUAAAUCGGUCCUAACCUUACAGCUAGGGUUGCAACUGUAAUAUUGUUGUCUGUUUCAUUUUACUUUCCAGGAUUAGGUAAUAAUAUUAAAUUCCCCAUCUCAUGUUAGUUUCUGUUUGAACUUGGCCUGGUAUUUGAAGAAUAUAUUUAGAAGUUAAAGCGUGCUACUUUUUAUCCCAUGCAAGCCAGUUGUGGGUUCAUAGAUCUGUGGUAUCUCAUAACAUUUUCUGUCCUAAACUGAACACAUCCAGUCUCUCCAAAUUGAAGUUCCUCAGCUGAGGUUAUUUUCAUUUCGGAGAAUUUCUUGAGAGUUGUUUCUGUUAUAGAGGAUAAAGGGAUAGAGGAGUCACAGCUGCCUAAAGUCAGUGCCUCUUUAAAUACAGGCCUUCCUUGCCUCCAGGACUUGAUGUCUUCCUUUAGUGGAGGGCAGCUCCUCAAUUGAAGAGGGCGGGAUUGAGGGAGCAGUUGAAGCAGCAGGUUCGCCUGGGCUCAUGCUUUUCUCUUGUGUGGCUGCUGUUACAGGGACCUUCAGGCACGUUCUAGGAAAGCCAAUUAAAGCAGAAAAGGCCCUUAGAACCAAAUUGAUUGCCCCCAGUAUAGCUGUUAAACUUUGAGAGAGCAGCUGGGUGCUUCUUGUGGCCCUGAUAGUGCCAGAUUGUUCAUGCUGCCUUAGGCUUUCCUGUAACAUUUUUGAAAACCCUUGUUAUAUCCAGUUUAAUGACAUGUAUUGAUCAGAACAAAAAGGGCUGAGGUACUGACUCCAGGAUCAACUCACAGACAGAACCAUACAUUUCUAUUUUUUAGAUUCUGCAAAGCACCCAAGUCAAACAUAGGAUUAUUCCCAGGGUCAUGACCAUACAGCAUUUUAUCUGUGAAGAACAGAUAGUUUAAGUCCUUUAUUUCCAUUUGAUUUCAAAUGUGGAUAAAGAAACAACUAAUUUAUUUUCAGAAAUGUACAUCACCUCUGACUCUCAAAUUAGCACCUGAUUUUCUUAUUUUCACUUUGAAACCGCUGUGUGCUAUUUUGAUUCUCUAGAAAGAGUUAAACUUCUCAUAGGCAUUAAACCCAAGUGGAAAUAGUUGGCCCAAGGCCUAAACUUGUUCUUUAUGAGAAAUACAAGACUCGAAGGGAUUCUAGCCUUUUUAGAAUUAUCAUAGAAUGUGUACAGGAAGCAUGACAUUGGCAGAAAGGGAACAUAGGUGCCUUUUACCGUGUUUAUAUGGACAUGGGUUCUGGGUUUUACAGAUGGGGAAAUAUUGUACGAGUCCAUGGGGAUAUGUAGUGAAAUGGAGAGGGAGAGGGAGAAAGAAAGAGAGAGAGAGAGAGAGAGAGAGAGAGAGAAAGAGAUAUUCUUUUGUACUUUCAGACUGAGCAGUUUACCCAAGUCAGAGAAGCAAGGGUAUACAGGUAAAGUACAGAAUAGUCUGGAAUAAUGUCAUUAUUGUUUGGUCUCUUUACUUCUUUAUAGGGCAUCUCAGAGAGAGAACACAGUUUCUCAAAGUGGAUGGAAGGUGUAUUAUAAGUUUUUAACCCAGAAUAACCAAAACAAUCUU
rnacentral:lncRNA from 10 species